rnacentral:rRNA from 1 species
AGGACUAACGCUGGCGGCGUGCCUAACACAUGCAAGUCGAACGGGGUAGCAAUACCCAGUGGCAGACGGGUGAGUAACGCGUAGAUAAUGUGCCCUCUUGCGGGGGAUACCGUUUCGAAAGGAGCGUUAAUACCGCAUAAAGCCGUCUUGGGGCAUCCCAGGAUGGGCAAACUGAUUCAGGGCGAGAGGAGCAAUCUGCGUACUAUCAGCUAGUUGGUGAGGUAACGGCUCACCAAGGCUACGACGGUUAACUGGUCUGAGAGGAUGAUCAGUCACACUGGAACUGAGACACGGUCCAGACUCCUACGGGAGCAGCAGUGAGGAUAUUGCGCAAUGGGGGAAACCUGACGCAGCGACGCCGCGUGGAGGAUGGAAGGCCUUCGGGUUGUAAGCUUCCGUGUCAGUUGGAAGAGAAUGGACGUACAACGUGAGGAAGCUUCGGCUAACUAGUGCCAGCAGCCGAC